UCCAUUUGUGUUGCAUGUCAGUGUUUGCCUCCUUUCAUGAAGUUAGCAUAAAAAAAGGCACUCCAGACAUGAGGACUCUGUUUGAUGGAAUUUUAAAAGAUGGACCCUAAAACAUUAUAUGGUGCAAGGCCACAAGACUCUGAUGCUGAUCUGAGUGAUGACGAUGACAAAAUAGAGGAUCCUGAUUAUCAGCCCAUGCAAGCAGAAGUCACUGGGGACACUUCCUGCCUACAAUCAGCAUAUGGGUGGCAUUGAUCUUUCUGACAUGCUGGUACAUGACCCCAGCCAAGUCAAGGCGAUAGUACUUUCCCCUGUUCGGAUACAUCCUUGACCUGUGCAUCUCAAAUUCCUGGCUGGUAUACAAGAGGGACUGUGGCCUACUGCACGAGAAACCAAUGCCCCUCAAAAGGUUCCACCUGGCAGUUGCCCACAGUUUGGGGCAAGUCAAUCCAAAGUUGGGCCGGCCAUCAUCCCCCUCUCCACCACAGAUGUCAUCUCAGGAGAAACGCUACACCCAAAGACCCUCACAACCACAACCAGAUGUGCGUUAUGAUAACUGCAGACAUUUGCCACUUCACUGUGACAAGCGGGGGCGGUGCAACCUCUGUCCAAAGGGUGUGUCGAGAUGGAAGUGUCAGAUAUGCAAUGUUUACCUAUGUUUGAAUGCAAACCAGCAAUGCUUUGUAACAUACCACCAGAAAUAAAGUGGAUCUUGUGUCCAAAAAACAUUUGUGCUGUUGCACCACCACACAGAUGAGCAAGUCUGACUUAUUUCUGCAAAGAUUUUAGCAUUUUGUUUUCUAAAUGUUCUUGUUUUUAAAAGUAUUUUUAUACUUUUACUGUGAAGCAACAUCUCAACCGUUUGGUAGAGGACUAUAUUAAAAAAAACUAUUGGGUCUGUAAAAAAACAAACAUUGAUUGUUGUUGUUAUUGCCCCAAGGAUAUAAAAAAAGCAUAGAUCUUUUUUUUUCAUUGCUUUUUUGUUAGUGAGGAAAUUUAAGGGUUAAUGUAUGAUUUAUUCCUUUCACAUAUGCUACAUUUUUUUUUAAUCUUAUUUCAGUUGUUCAUGCAUUUUUAAGGUUUCAAUUGCCUGGUAUGUAAUGCACUAG
ensembl:lncRNA